rnacentral:tRNA from 1 species
GCCCAGGUAGUAUAGCUCGGUUUCUACAAAAAGCCGAUGAGUAUGUGAGACUGUCACUCUCGCGACCCGGGUUCAAAUCCCGGCCUGGGCG